GAUCUCCGCUGCUCUACCGACCUGGGCUAUCCCCGGCGCUUGUCUUCUUGCCUCUCCAGCGCCGGGUUUGUAAUAGUAAGAAGAGAAGGUGGGAGAGGAGAUGACCACCGAAAGGGGGAUAGUAGAGUUUACAGAAGUUCCCUGACCAAGUCAUCGUCCUGGCCAAGUCAUCGCUUAUGGUACUGAGGGAGAUGAAGGAAAACGUUGAAGGGGCGCUGAGGUGACGAUCCACACAAUGGAAGUCCAUCCAUCUCUACUCUCAGUCCUCCCUUCUAGCUGGGUACUUUAUUUUAAGCACUACCCAAGUGGAUGACAUGUCUACAAAAAGAACAGGAGUCGCUGGCUGCUUCUAGCAAAUGCAUCUUCAAAACAAAUGCUUUUGUGCAGGAAGUUAGGAUGUGAACCCUCAUGAGAAACACAUUCAAAGAUGCUGCAUUGAAAACCCAGCAUUUCUAAUGUGACAAGGGCUAAAUUCAACCAGUUUGCUCAUUGAUGGAUGAAUGGUCUAUAAAGGACUCAGAGAAUUACAUUAAAUCUCGACGCAUCCUUUCUGCCUACUCUUCUUAAAAAAUUGGGCAGAUUAUUUCAUUU
rnacentral:lncRNA from 1 species